UCCAGUUGUACCUUAGCACAGAUCACCGCACACAGCACCUUAUCAUCAUUUUCACCUUUCCCGUAUACAACGACUACAAAAUUCUUGCGGCGCUCGCAGAGGACCUUAGUAGAGAAUUUGGUUGGAAGGACACAUUGUAUUUCGAUUCACCCAAAAAAGACAAUAAUGGAAACUUGAAAGCUACUGGAAAAUUAAUCACUCGCGUAGACUAGGUGCAAAGGCUGCUUCAACGAUCUCGAUUAUGUCUGAAAAAGGACGAUUCAACUGAUAAUACUGCUGUUGAUGGAACCGAAGCAGAAUUUGUUGAUGUUGAGUCACAGCUUGCACUGUUGCGUAAGCCUGUUUUGGAUUCGGAAGAUACAUGUGAAGCUUGAAAAGGGAC